AACGAAUGCUGGCGGCAUGCCUAACACAUGCAAGUCGAACGAGAUCUUCGGGUCUAGUGGCGCACGGGUGCGUAACGCGUGGGAAUCUGCCCUUUGGUUCGGAAUAACAGUUGGAAACGACUGCUAAUACCGGAUGAUGACGAAAGUCCAAAGAUUUAUCGCCAGAGGAUGAGCCCGCGUAGGAUUAGCUAGUUGGUGAGGUAAAGGCGCACCAAGGCGACGAUCCUUAGCUGGUCUGAGAGGAUGAUCAGCCACACUGGGACUGAGACACGGCCCAGACUCCUACGGGAGGCAGCAGUGGGGAAUAUUGGACGAUGGGCGAAAGCCUGAUCCAGCAAUGCCGCGUGAGUGAUGAAGGCCUUAGGGUUGUAAAGCUCUUUUACCCGGGAUGAUAAUGACAGUACCGGGAGAAUAAGCUCCGGCUAACUCCGUGCCAGCCGCCGCAGUAA
rnacentral:rRNA from 1 species